rnacentral:lncRNA from 1 species
GAUUUGCUAAGGCGAUGCAGAGUAAGUUGGACGUAUGUAACCGAGAAGGGAUACCCGCUGUGGGAGGUGCAAGCCGCUGAACAGCUCAACAGAGACAACGCGUGGAAGAUAUCUAUCUAAGCCAAGGCAGGAGCCUUUGAAUAGGGGGCGCUGAUUCAACACAGGACCAAAGGCAACAGGACUGAGUGAAUAUAGCCUGAAACCCCCAUAGCCAGUGAAGUGAACCGCCACAUUGACUUGCACAUGCGCAAAAUGAAGUGAGUGGCACAUCUCCGCACCUGCUCGCAAAUCUGUUCAAAGUGGACUAAAGACGGCUGAAUUCGUGCUCAAUGAUUCUCAUGGUUCCGUGGUGGUAAUGAAUCCAGACGGGAAAGCAGAAAUGUUGUGCAUGGGAGGCAGCUCUGGCAUUUCACAUACCACAGACAAAGAGUACAUGGAGGGGGUCACGAGGGUGAGGUAUUAUUUGCAAAACAAGGAAACUGGAAGACUUGGCUCAGAGGAAGGCACGCAGGAGCUGCUGUGCAAGAACCACAUCUCACUUCUUCAGCUCAGCACAGCGGAGGAGGCCAUGCAGCUCUCCACAAGUUCCAACGUUGAACUUUUCCACAGCAUUGAGCCUAAGGAAUACAUAGGUGAUUUAUUUAAACUCAAAUCAAAAACCAGCUGUGCCAACCUGAAGAAAUUUGAGGAAGUCUUUAACCAGGAAACAUUUGGGUGGCUUCUGAAAUCCUGCGAGAGACAACCAGCUGAAAGAGAAUGAAGGUCUUCAAGCCUUUCAUUAAGAUUGCCGCGCACUGUAGGAGAUGCAAGAAUUUUAACUCCAUGUUUGUAAACAUCAGGUAAGAGGAGCUGUCCUAGGGGAAGCUGACUCUACAGAUUUAAAUAUAUAUUUAUACAUAUAUAUGUUUUAGAAUACCAUAUAAUUAUAGAAAUAUUGACU